rnacentral:rRNA from 1 species
GAAAGAUGGCCUCGCGUCUGAUUAGCUAGUUGGCGGGGUAACGGCCCACCAAGGCGACGAUCAGUAGCCGGUCUGAGAGGAUGAACGGCCACAUUGGGACUGAGAUACGGCCCAGACUCCUACGGGAGGCAGCAGUGGGGAAUAUUGGGCAAUGGGGGAAACCCUGACCCAGCAACGCCGCGUGAAGGAAGAAGGCCCUCGGGUUGUAAACUUCUUUUACCAGGGACGAAGGACGUGACGGUACCUGGAGAAAAAGCAACGGCUAACUACGUGCCAGCAGCCGCGGUAAUACGUAGGUUGCAAGCGUUGUCCGGAUUUACUGGGUGUAAAGGGCGUGUAGGCGGAGAUGCAAGUUGGGAGUGAAAUCCCGGGGCUCAACCCCGGAACUGCUUUCAAAACUGUAUCCCUUGAGUAUCGGAGAGGCAAGCGGAAUUCCUAGUGUAGCGGUGAAAUGCGUAGAUAUUAGGAGGAACACCAGUGGCGAAGGCGGCUUGCUGGACGACAACUGACGCUGAGGCGCGAAAGCGUGGGGAGCAAACAGGAUUAGAUACCCUGGUAGUCCACGCUGUAAACGAUGAAUACUAGGUGUGGGAGGACUGACCCCUUCCGUGCCGCAGUUAAACACAAUAAGUAUUCCACCUGGGGAGUACGACCGCAAGGUU